rnacentral:tRNA from 1 species
GCCUUCGUGGUGUAACGGUAGCACACUCGGCGCGUAUUCGAGAGGUCCAGGUUCGAGUCCCGGUGAGGGCA